GAUGAAGAACGUAGCGAAAUGCGAUAAGUAGUGUGAAUUGCAGAAUUCAGUGAAUCAUCGAAUCUUUGAACGCACAUUGCGCCCCUUGGUAUUCCAUGGGGCAUGCCUGUUCGAGCGUCAUUUGUACCUUCAAGCUCUGCUUGGUGUUGGGUGUUUGUCACGCCUCUGCGUGUAGACUCGCCUUAAAACAAUUGGCAGCCGGCGUAUUGAUUUCGGAGCGCAGUACAUCUCGCGCUUUGCACUCAUAACGACGACGUCCAAAAGUACAUUUUUACACUCUUGACCUCGGAUCAGGUAGGGAUACCCGCUGAACUUAAGCAUAUCAAUAAGCGGAGGA
rnacentral:misc_RNA from 1 species